GUGAGGCGAUAUUGCUCCUUUUGGGUACAUGUACUUGACUCGGUUCACUUUCUUAUAUUUCAGGUACUUAUCGAUGUUAAGAAAAGCUUUGAAGGAAAAUAUUGUUGUAGAUCUCACAAAUUUAUAUGACCAUUUCUUCAUUUCCACGGGCGAAUGUAAAGCUAAAGUUACCGCAGCUCGCCUGCCAUAUUUUGAUGGGGACUAUUGGCCUGGUGCAGCAGAGGAUAUGAUUUAUCAACUUCAACAAGAAGAAGAUGGGAGGAAACAACAUAUGCUGGUCGCCUGCCAUAUUUUGAUGGGGACUAUUGGCCUGGGGCAGCAGAGGAUAUGAUUUAUCAACUUCAACAAGAAGAAGAUGGGAGGAAACAACAUAAGAAGGGAUCUAUUAAGAAGACUAUAUCAAAAAGAGCUCUU
rnacentral:lncRNA from 1 species